rnacentral:rRNA from 1 species
AGAGUGUAAAAACUCCCAAACCCUUUGUGAACAUACCACUGUUGCCUCGGCGGACCUACCCGGUAGCUACCCUGUAGCUACCCUGUAGCCGCCGGCGGACCACCAAACUCUGAUUAUGUAGAUAUCUGAGCGUACUUUUAAAUAAGUCAAAACUUUCAACAACGGAUCUCUUGGUUCUGGCAUCGAUGAAGAACGCAGCGAAAUGCGAUAAGUAAUGUGAAUUGCAGAAUUCAGUGAAUCAUCGAAUCUUUGAACGCACAUUGCGCCCAUUAGUACUCUAGUGGGCAUGCCUGUUCGAGCGUCAUUACGACCCUUAAGCCUAGCUUAGUAUUGGGAACCUACGUGCGGCAGCUACCCUGUAGCUACCCUGUAGCUCCUUAAAGACAACGGCGGAGACGUGGAGUCCUCUGAGCUUAGUAACUUUUCUAGCUUCUGAGGGCGCCGCGGCCCCUGCCGUAAAACCCCAACUUU